rnacentral:tRNA from 1 species
GCCCCGGUAGCUCAGUGGAUAGAGCGGGAGCCUUCUAAGCUCUUGGUCGCAGGUUCAAAUCCUGUCCGGGGUG